rnacentral:rRNA from 1 species
GGCGAGUGAAGCGGCAACAGCUCAAAUUUGAAAUCUGGCGUCUUUGGCGUCCGAGUUGUAAUUUGCAGAGGGCGCUUUGGCAUUGGCAGCGGUCCAAGUUCCUUGGAACAGGACGUCACAGAGGGUGAGAAUCCCGUACGUGGUCGCUAGCCUUUACCGUGUAAAGCCCCUUCGACGAGUCGAGUUGUUUGGGAAUGCAGCUCUAAAUGGGAGGUAAAUUUCUUCUAAAGCUAAAUACUGGCCAGAGACCGAUAGCGCACAAGUAGAGUGAUCGAAAGAUGAAAAGCACUUUGGAAAGAGAGUUAAAAAGCACGUGAAAUUGUUGAAAGGGAAGCGCUUGCAGCCAGACUUGCCUGUAGUUGCUCAUCCGGGUUUUUACCCGGUGCACUCUUCUAUGGGCAGGCCAGCAUCAGUUUGGGCGGUUGGAUAAAGGUCUCUGUCACGUACCUCCUCUCGGGGAGAACUUAUAGGGGAGACGUAAUGCAACCAGCCUGGACUGAGGUCCGCGCAUCUGCUAGGAUGCUGGCGUAAUGGCUGUAAGCGGCCCGUCUUGAAACACGGACCAAGGAGUCUAACAUCUAUGCGAGUGUUUGGGUGUCAAGCCCGAGCGCGUAAUGAAAGUGAACGGAGGUGGGAACCUUUCGGGGUGCACCAUCGACCGAUCCUGAUGUCUUCGGAUGGAUUUGAGUAAGAGCAUAGCUGUUGGGACCCGAAAGAUGGUGAACUAUGCUUGAAUAGGGUGAAGCCAGAGGAAACUCUGGUGGAGGCUCGCAGCGGUUCUGACGUGCAAAUCGAUCGUCAAAUUUGGGCAUAGGGGCGAAAGACUAAUCGAACUAUCUAGUAGCUGGUUCCUGCCGAAGUUUCCCUCAGGAUAGCAGUAACGUUUUCAGUUUUAUGAGGUAAAGCGAAUGAUUAGAGGCCUGGGGGUUGAAACAACCUUCACCUAUUCUCAAACUUUAAAUAUGUAAGAAGUCCUUGUUACUUAAUUGAACGUGGACAGUUGAAUGUAUCGUUACUAGUGGGCCAUUUUUGGUAAGCAGAACUGGCGAUGCGGGAUGAACCGAACGCGGGGUUAAGGUGCCAGAAUAUACGCUCAUCAGACACCACAAAAGGUGUUAGUUCAUCUAGACAGCAGGACGGUGGCCAUGGAAGUCGGAAUCCGCUAAGGAGUGUGUAACAACUCACCUGCCGAAUGAACUAGCCCUGAAAAUGGAUGGCGCUCAAGCGUAUUACCCAUACCCCGCCGCUGGGGCAAGAUUUAAGCCCCAGCGAGUAGGCAGGCGUGGAGGUCCGUGACGAA